rnacentral:rRNA from 1 species
GAUGAACGCUGGCGGCGUGCCUAAUACAUGCAAGUCGAGCGAACGGACGAGAAGCUUGCUUCUCUGAUGUUAGCGGCGGACGGGUGAGUAACACGUGGAUAACCUACCUAUAAGACUGGGAUAACUUCGGGAAACCGGAGCUAAUACCGGAUGAUAUUUUUAACCGCAUGGUUCAAAAGUGAAAGACGGUCUUGCUGUCACUUAUAGAUGUAUCCGCGCUGCAUUAGCUAGUUGGUAAGGUAACGGCUUACCAAGGCAACGAUGCAUAGCCGACCUGAGAGGGUGAUCGGCCACACUGGAACUGAGACACGGUCCAGACUCCUACGGGAGGCAGCAGUAGGGAAUCUUCCGCAAUGGGCGAAAGCCUGACGGAGCAACGCCGCGUGAGUGAUGAAGGUCUUCGGAUCGUAAAACUCUGUUAUUAGGGAAGAACAUAUGUGUAAGUAACUGUGCACAUCUUGACGGUACCUAAUCAGAAAGCCACGGCUAACUACGUG